GCCACCGUAGCUCAGUUGGUAGAGCAGCCGCUUCGUAAGCGGCGGGUCGCGGGUUCGACUCCCACCGGUGGCUCUA
rnacentral:tRNA from 1 species